CCUACGGGUGGCAGCAGUGAGGAAUAUUGGUCAAUGGCCGAGAGGCUGAACCAGCCAAGUCGCGUGAGGGAAGACGGCCCUACGGGUUGUAAACCUCUUUUGUCGGGGAGCAAAUCGAGUCACGUGUGACUCAUUGAGAGUACCCGAAGAAAAAGCAUCGGCUAACUCCGUGCCAGCAGCCGCGGUAAUACGGAGGAUCCGAGCGUUAUCCGGAUUUGUUGGGUGUAAAGGGAGCGUAGGUGGAUUGGUUAGUCAGUUGUGAAAGUUUGCGGCUCAACCGUAAAAUUGCAGUUGAUACUGGCAGUCUUGAGUACAGUAGAGGUGAGCGGAAUUCGUGGUGUAGCGGUGAAAUGCUUAGAUAUCACGAAGAACUCCGAUUGCGAAGGCAGCUUACUGGACUGCAACUGACACUGAGGCUCGAAAGUGUGGGUAGCAAACAGGAUUAGAUACCCGAGUAGUC
rnacentral:rRNA from 1 species